GAAGCUUCUUGGCCUUUUGGCUAAGAUCAAGUGUAGUAUCUUGCAGGAAUAGCUUCUCAACUAUUGUGCCAUGUUGGGCAACAUUGUAAACUGAUGAUGAUCAUUGGUAGGAUAGUUUUUUUGAUCUUCAGAAAUGCAGCUGUUUUUGAAAUAACUGAGCUGGUUAAAAUGCCAGUCUGGUCUACUCAAU
rnacentral:snRNA from 1 species